AACGCACAUUGCGCCCUCUGGUAUUCCGGGGGGCACACCUGUUCGAGCGUCAUUGCAAAUCUCAAGCUCUGCUUGGUGUUGGGUCCUCGUCCGGAUCGGGCGGGCCCGAAAGCGAUAGGCGACGGCUGUCCGGCUUCGAGCGUGAUAAAGGUUUACACCCGCCGCUCCGGAAGUGCUUCGUGACUCCGACCGCCUCGAACCUUCUCACUAAGUAGGUUGACCUCGGAUCAGGUGGGGAUACCCGCUGAACUUAA
rnacentral:misc_RNA from 1 species